GAUGAACGCUGGCGGCGUGCCUAAUACAUGCAAGUCGAACGAGUUCUCGUUGAUGAUCGGUGCUUGCACCGAGAUUCAACAUGGAACGAGUGGCGGACGGGUGAGUAACACGUGGGUAACCUGCCCUUAAGUGGGGGAUAACAUUUGGAAACAGAUGCUAAUACCGCAUAGAUCCAAGAACCGCAUGGUUCUUGGCUGAAAGAUGGCGUAAGCUAUCGCUUUUGGAUGGACCCGCGGCGUAUUAGCUAGUUGGUGAGGUAAUGGCUCACCAAGGCGAUGAUACGUAGCCGAACUGAGAGGUUGAUCGGCCACAUUGGGACUGAGACACGGCCCAAACUCCUACGGGAGGCAGCAGUAGGGAAUCUUCCACAAUGGACGCAAGUCUGAUGGAGCAACGCCGCGUGAGUGAAGAAGGCUUUCGGGUCGUAAAACUCUGUUGUUGGAGAAGAAUGGUCGGCAGAGUAACUGUUGUCGGCGUGACGGUAUCCAACCAGAAAGCCACGGCUAACUACGUGCCAGCAGCCGCGGUAAUACGUAGGUGGCAAGCGUUAUCCGGAUUUAUUGGGCGUAAAGCGAGCGCAGGCGGUUUUUUAAGUCUGAUGUGAAAGCCCUCGGCUUAACCGAGGAAGCGCAUCGGAAACUGGGAAACUUGAGUGCAGAAGAGGACAGUGGAACUCCAUGUGUAGCGGUGAAAUGCGUAGAUAUAUGGAAGAACACCAGUGGCGAAGGCGGCUGUCUGGUCUGUAACUGACGCUGAGGCUCGAAAGCAUGGGUAGCGAACAGGAUUAGAUACCCUGGUAGUCCAUGCCGUAAACGAUGAAUGCUAGGUGUUGGAGGGUUUCCGCCCUUCAGUGCCGCAGCUAACGCAUUAAGCAUUCCGCCUGGGGAGUACGACCGCAAGGUUGAAACUCAAAGGAAUUGACGGGGGCCCGCACAAGCGGUGGAGCAUGUGGUUUAAUUCGAAGCAACGCGAAGAACCUUACCAGGUCUUGACAUCUUUUGAUCACCUGAGAGAUCAGGUUUCCCCUUCGGGGGCAAAAUGACAGGUGGUGCAUGGUUGUCGUCAGCUCGUGUCGUGAGAUGUUGGGUUAAGUCCCGCAACGAGCGCAACCCUUAUGACUAGUUGCCAGCAUUUAGUUGGGCACUCUAGUAAGACUGCCGGUGACAAACCGGAGGAAGGUGGGGAUGACGUCAAAUCAUCAUGCCCCUUAUGACCUGGGCUACACACGUGCUACAAUGGAUGGUACAACGAGUUGCGAGACCGCGAGGUCAAGCUAAUCUCUUAAAGCCAUUCUCAGUUCGGACUGUAGGCUGCAACUCGCCUACACGAAGUCGGAAUCGCUAGUAAUCGCGGAUCAGCACGCCGCGGUGAAUACGUUCCCGGGCCUUGUACACACCGCCCGUCACACCAUGAGAGUUUGUAACACCCGAAGCCGGUGGCGUAACCCUUUUAGGGAGCGAGCCGUCUAA
rnacentral:rRNA from 2 species